UCCGGCUUGUCACCGGCGGUCUCUCCAGAGUGCCCGGCCCUACCCGAUGGCAACUGAAGAUAAGGGUUGCGCUCGUUGCGGGACUUAACCCAACAUCUCACGACACGAGCUGACGACAGCCAUGCAGCACCUGUAACGGCCCCCCGAAGGGAAGCCCCGCUCUCACGAGGCCGUAGCCGCCAUGUCAAGGGCUGGUAAGGUUCUGCGCGUUGCGUCGAAUUAAACCACAUGCUCCACCGCUUGUGCGGGCCCCCGUCAAUUUCUUUGAGUUUUAACCUUGCGGCCGUACUCCCCAGGCGGGGUGCUUAACGCGUUAGCUGCGCUACCCAGGGAGUCGAUACCCCAGACAGCUAGUACUCAUCGUUUACGGCAUGGACUAC
rnacentral:misc_RNA from 1 species